rnacentral:rRNA from 1 species
AUGACCGUGAGAACCCCUCUCAGGUUCAGGGAGCUUCCAGCGGUUUCUUUCUUGCCCUGGACCACUUUCCCCUCUCUCUUCCCCCAGAUCAGCUCCAGAGCUCUCCCGGCGACCGGCGCACCUCUUCUCGCCGGCACUUCUCCCCUUCCGGCGCAGCUCCUCGACGGAUCACCUCGCUCGCCACAUCGGCCGCAGAUGGCAGAUCCCGGCGCCGGCGGUGACCUUUGGGCAGUCCUUCGACGCGCUCUGUUCAUGUUGGUGACUUCCCUCUCUCCGAUCGCAGCGUCGUACAGGGUGUUCUUGCUGCACAACAAUCUCAGGCGGCCGAAGCAGAAGAAGAUGAAGGAGGAGCAGGAUCUGCGGCGGCACGAGCUUCUCCGGCGCGAGCAGGAGCCCCGGGCAUAG